rnacentral:misc_RNA from 1 species
GCGUAAAAUGCAAUGUGUACGUUGUGUGCGACUAAAGUCGCAUGCGCCGUGCGUGUUGGGAGGGCCUCCGCGCCUUCCCGAAAUGCGUGUCUGCCGAUGGCCCGAGACGGGACGCUUGCGUCACCCGGGCCCGACGCACAACCCA